UACAGAGGUCCCAAGCGUUGUUCGGAUUCAUUGGGCGUAAAGGGUGCGUAGGUGGCGCCGUAAGUGGGGUGUGAAAUUUCGGGGCUUAACUCCGAAACUGCAUUCGAUACUGCCGUGCUUGAGGACUGGAGAGGAGACUGGAAUUUACGGUGUAGCGGUGAAAUGCGUAGAUAUCGUAAGGAAGACCAGUGGCGAAGGCGGGUCUCUGGACAGUUCCUGACGCUGAGGCACGAAGGCCAGGGGAGCAAACGGG
rnacentral:rRNA from 1 species